rnacentral:rRNA from 1 species
UACGUAGGUGGCGAGCGUUGUCCGGAUUUACUGGGCGUAAAGGGAGCGUAGGCGGACUUUUAAGUGAGAUGUGAAAUACUCGGGCUCAACCUGAGUGCUGCAUUUCAAACUGGAAGUCUAGAGUGCAGGAGAGGAGAGUGGAAUUCCUAGUGUAGCGGUGAAAUGCGUAGAGAUUAGGAAGAACACCAGUGGCGAAGGCGACUCUCUGGACUGUAACUGACGCUGAGGCUCGAAAGAGUGGGGAGCAAACAGG